GAUGAAGAACGCAGCGAAAUGCGAUACGUAAUGUGAAUUGCAGAAUUCAGUGAAUCAUCGAAUCUUUGAACGCAUAUUGCGCUCUCUGGUAUUCCGGAGAGCAUGCUUGUUUGAGUAUCAGUAAACACCUCAACUCCCCUUUCUUUUUUGAAAUGGGAGCUGGACUUGAGUGAUCCCAACGCUUUUCUCACCGAAAAGUGGCGGGUUACUUGAAAUGCAGGUGCAGCUGGACUUUUCUCUGAGCUAAAAGCAUAUCUAUUUAGUCUGCCUAAAAACAGAUUAUUACCUUUGCUGCAGCUAACAUAAAGGAGAUUAGUUCUUGUGCUGACUGAUGCAGGCUUCACAGAGACAGCUUCGGCUGGCCUUUGUAAACUCGAUCUCAAAUCAAGUAAGACUACCCGCUGAACUUAAGCAUAUCAAUAAGCGGAGGA
rnacentral:misc_RNA from 1 species